CCUACGGGAGGCAGCAGUGAGGAAUAUUGGUCAAUGGCCGGAAGGCUGAACCAGCCAAGCCGCGUGAAGGACGAAGGUGCCAAGCAUUGUAAACUUCUUUUGUCAAGGGACAAAAUCAGGCUCGAGAGCCUGACCGAGGGUACUUGAAGAAAAAGCAUCGGCUAACUCCGUGCCAGCAGCCGCGGUAAUACGGAGGAUGCGAGCGUUAUCCGGAUUUAUUGGGUUUAAAGGGUGCGUAGGCGGGCUGUUAAGUCAGCGGUAAAAGCCCGGGGCUCAACCCCGGCGAGCCGUUGAAACUGGCGGUCUUGAGAUGUCGAGAGGUAUGCGGAAUGCGCGGUGUAGCGGUGAAAUGCUUAGAUAUUGCGAAGAACUCCGAUUGCGAAGGCAGCAUACCGGCGGCGAUCUGACGCUGAGGCACGAAAGCGUGGGUAUCGAACAGGAUUAGAUACCCCGGUAGUC
rnacentral:rRNA from 1 species